CGUAGGCGGAUAAUUAAAAAUACAGUAAAAGACUGAGGAAAACCCUCUUUAAUCUGUGUUUACUAAUUAUCUGAGUUUCAAAGGUGGUUUAUUGAAUUUUAGAAGGAAGGGUGAAAUUGUUGAUAUUGAAAGACAUUCGAUGGCGAAAGCAUUAACCAAUUUGGAUCUAACGUUAGGUACUAAAGUAUGGGGAUAAAUAGGAUUAGAGACCUAGUAGUCCAUACCUUAAACAAUGAGUGUCCAACAUCUUUUAGUGAAAAACUAUCUGGGGUUUAAAGUUAACGCGUGAAACACCGCCUGGGGAAUGUGGCCGCAAGGUUAAACUCAAAGGAAUUGACGGAGACUUAUACAAGG
rnacentral:rRNA from 1 species